UAUAAAGUUUAUGGAGUCAGGCUACGUUGAGAAGAAAUCAGCUGAAAUUGUGGGUGAAGUGCUGACAGUCGAGCUGUAUAAGAUACAUGGGUCUAGCAUUCUCAAGUGGAUUCAUUUACUUUUCACAUUGUCUUGAUGACUAGCUAUUACAUAAAGACCGCGUUUGGUUGGAAGAAUUGGAUUACUAGGAAUUCAAUUAUGGGGAAAUCCAAUUCUUGGAAUCGAAUUCCAUGGAAUUGGAUGCAAUUCCAAAAACUUAGCGUUUGGUUGAGGUUGAUGAAGGACAAUUAAUUUAUUUUAAGGCAGAAAUGAGAGUUUUAGAUAAGUAACCACAAAUGUUCUUGUGUUAUUUGUUCUUAAUUUGUGGGAUGAUGAAGGUGGG